CUACGGGUCGCUGCAGUGGGGAAUAUUGCGCAAUGGGGGAAACCCUGACGCAGCAACGCCGCGUGAGUGAGGAAGGCCUUCGGGUUGUAAAGCUCUGUUGGACGGGAAAAAUGGUCAUUGGUCUAAUAGGCCAGUGAAUUGAUGGUACCGUCAGAGGAAGCACCGGCUAACUUCGUGCCAGCAGCCGCGGUAAUACGAAGGGUGCAAGCGUUACUUGGAUUUACUGGGCGUAAAGCGCGCGCAGGCGGAUUGGCAAGUCAGGUGUGAAAUCUCGGGGCUCAACUCCGAAAUUGCGCCUGAAACUAUCGAUCUAGAGUCUUGGCGGGGGAGGUGGAAUAUCGCAUGUAGGGGUAAAAUCCGUAGAGAUGCGAUGGAACACCAGAGGCGAAGGCGACCUCCUGGACAAGUACUGACGCUGAGGCGCGAAAGCGUGGGGAGCAAACAGGAUUAGAUACCCGGGUAGUC
rnacentral:rRNA from 1 species